AAAACUCCGGUGGUGUAAGAUGGACCCGCGUCUGAUUAGCUGGUUGGCGAGGUAACGGCUCACCAAGGCGACGAUCAGUAGCCGGCCUGAGAGGGUGAACGGCCACAUUGGGACUGAGACACGGCCCAAACUCCUACGGGAGGCAGCAGUGGGGAAUAUUGCACAAUGGGGGAAACCCUGAUGCAGCAACGCCGCGUGAGUGAAGAAGUCAUUCGUGAUGUAAAGCUCUAUCAGCAGGGAAGAAAAUGACGGUACCUGACUAAGAAGCCCCGGCUAACUACGUGCCAGCAGCCGCGGUAAUACGUAGGGGGCAAGCGUUAUCCGGAUUUACUGGGUGUAAAGGGAGCGUAGACGGCGACGCAAGUCUGAAGUGAAAUGCCAGUGCUCAACACUGGAACUGCUUUGGAAACUGUGUGGCUAGAGUGCAGGAGAGGUAAGUGGAAUUCCUAGUGUAGCGGUGAAAUGCGUAGAUAUUAGGAGGAACACCAGUGGCGAAGGCGGCUUACUGGACUGUAACUGACGUUGAGGCUCGAAGGCGUGGGGAGCAAACAGGAUUAGAUACCCUGGUAGUCCACGCGGUAAACGAUGAUUACUAGGUGUCGGGG
rnacentral:rRNA from 1 species